CUAAUUUUAGAUACCUUUAGUUUAUUUAUAAAACCGAUAGCUUCCUCAUUUAAACCAUGGAAAGCGCCAGUUCUGGGGUGCAAAAAUUUAUUGGAACAGAACAGGCUCAAAAGCAUGUUAAAAAAUGGAUUUGAUGCAUCGGUUAUUCAAAACAAUUAGAUUGUCCUUCAUUCCACUUAAUUGUGGCAUGAUUAUUAAGAGUUAUAAAAAUGGCUGUGUACAAUGGUUCAUUGAUUAUAGAGCAGAUUAUAGUUUGAGAGAUUCUGGAAGCUUUCUUUGCACAUCUUCCAAUGGACCCCAGAAUAACAAGUAAUUUACCCGCAAGAUUGGCGAUAAUGAAUUUGGUUAAAAUAUUGAGAAGUUUCGUUAUGAAGAAUGCUU